rnacentral:rRNA from 1 species
UACGUAGGGGGCAAGCGUUAUCCGGAUUUACUGGGUGUAAAGGGAGCGUAGACGGUUAAGUAAGUCUGGAGUGAAAGGCCGGGGCCCAACCCCGGGACUGCUUUGGAAACUGUGUAACUUGAGUACAGGAGGGGCAGGCGGAAUUCCUGGUGUAGCGGUGAAAUGCGUAGAUAUUAGGAGGAACACCAGUGGCGAAGGCGGCCUGCUGGACGAUGACUGACGUUGAGGCACGAAAGCGUGGGGAGCAAACAGG